UACGUAGGGGGCAAGCGUUGUCCGGAAUUAUUGGGCGUAAAGCGCACGCAGGCGGUUGCGCGCGUUUCCGGUGCCCGCCCGUUGCUUAACGACGGGGGGGCCGGGAAGACGGCGUGACUUGAGGGCCUCAGAGGGACAUAGAAUUCCGGGUGGAGUGGUGAAAUGCGUAGAUAUCCGGAGGAAUACCAAAGGCGAAGGCAGUGUCCUGGGGGGUGACUGACGCUAAGGUGCGAAAGCCAGGGGAGCGAACGGG
rnacentral:rRNA from 1 species